AAGACUUAGACCCAGAGAGGCAGUAACUGCCAAGAAAAUUCAAGAGUCGUAUAAUUAGAACAAUGGUCCAUAUAAGAAGAUAACCUGGUUUCUCAUGACAAUACAUGCACCCCCUACAGGGGACUCUCUAAGUUCUAGAGGCUGAGAAGAAUUUGAUUCCAUAUUUAGGGCAUCAUAAAUUCAAAGGGGUGAGAAAAAAUAUAAUAUUAGGACAAAACAUGUGCACGGAAGUACACAAGCCAUUUGCUCCGUAGAGAAACAAUAUAGUGAAAUGUCAGUGGACUUGGAAAUCAAAAACAAUAUCACAUAAGAGGAAAGCAACAGAUUCCACUUUCAAAUUCAGCUUUCCAACUUGGAAUUUGAAUUUGAAAGUGGAAUCUGUUGCUUUUCUCUUAUGUAAUCUUGUUUGAGAAACGCAGGUAAUCAGUUUCAAUCUUUUCAAUAAUGUGAAAGUCCUGAUAAUAUCUACUUCAUGGGAGUAAAUGAGAUAAUAUCUAUUAAAUUGCCAUAAAAUACUACAGUUUUACAAGUGUAAGCUAUUGUUAGCACUACCAAACAUAAUAAUUGUUGCUUUUUUGUUGACAGUUUUUUUUAUAAAUCAGGUAUUACAUUAAUGUCUUUACAUACAAGAUAUCAUUUAACCAUAAUUUACAAAUAAAAUCAUUCAAAAGUAUCUGAAAUAAAUGGUCAAGUCACAAAAACAAAUAUGUCUAUCAAAAAUAAUUAUUUCUAAGAAAUGGUUUGCCAAUGUUAUUUAGUAGAGGCUUCCCAAAUUCAGCAGAUGUGAAUUUACCCAUAAAACAGUAAUUGAUCCACAGGAAAUCAUGACUCAAAAUGUGGUAUAUGAAAAGAAAGCAAUCCUUCAUUUACAUAGAAUUGUCAUAUUUCGGGUAACUUAGUGACAUGGACAUUAAGUUUCAUGGAGAUUGGGAAAAAGGUGGGUCGAAAAUGGUGAGUUAGAAAUGAAGAAUAGAGGCCAGGCACGGUGGCUUACACCUGUAAUCCCAGCACUUUGGGAGGCCAAGGUUGGCGGAUCACCUGAGGUCAGGAAUUCGAGACCACCCUGGCCAACAUGGCAAAAAUACGUCUCUACUAAAAAUACAAAAAUUAGCCGGAUGUGGUGGUGUGCUCCUGUUAUCUCAGCUAUUUGGGAGGCUGAGGGAGGAGAAUGGCUUGAACCCAGGAGGCAGAGGUUGCAGUGAACUGAGAUCGUGCCACUGCACUCCAGCCUAGGUGACAGAGAGAGACUCCAUCUCAAAACAAAACAAAAAACAAAUAUAUUAACAGUCUAUUCUAUCAGACCCCUUAAUUUGACUCAACCAAAUCCUCAAGGACAUUUUGCCCUGGAUUAUUGAAAAUAUGGGCAAUUCAAUAAUAAUUUAGAUGUGGGCCUAUAACAUGAUAUGAAAAGAGCAAUUUUAAAAGUUGGUUUUGAGGUCAUACACAGAUGGGUUUGUGGGCAAAGGGUGAGGACAACUUCAUAGAUCAGACGUCAUCUGAGCUGGGUUAUGGAGCUAAAUAGGAAGCAUUCUUGUGAAUAAGUCAAGAAACAACAUUACAGAAGAAUGUUCACAUUGCGGAGGUUUGAAACCACUGGGGAAGAGCUGGGUCUUUUUGCAGCUUAACUACCUCCUAUCCCUCUGUGUCCCUCCACUUCUUCCUCUGUGCCCUCAGGGGAUUGUCUUUACAUAGGCAUUGCACAGCCCUUGCCUUUCCUAAGAUUUAGAAUCAGUCAAUGGGAGGCACUAGGCAUCCAAAGCACACUGGAAAAGAGAAAAUUAAGGCCAGGGAUGCAGUCCUUCGACUUUUUUCCUGUCACAUUACUUCAGGUUGGCUUUGUCACGUGACCAAAACAGCUCUCACUGAGCAGCCUUAAAUCUCUUUAUCCUGGUAAUGGUUCCUUCCUCUUUUCCCUUAGGCUCAGGAGGGUAAUUAAUAGCUCCUCCUUGAUGUUAGCCCCAGGGGACUGCAACUUCACUUUCUGGUUUCCUUUCACCCUGUCCAUAUUUGAACAGAAUAGUCUUUUUGUAAAACUUUCCUUUGUUACUCUCAGUUAAGUAUACCAUUUAUAUUCUGAUGAGACCCCCCAUUGAAAUAUUUACGUAACAUCACAACUAAAGAAAAAUCAAAAAUUCAUUCUGUGUAAUGUCUGGCCAGUCCCCCAAACCCAGGUUUAACUGAUUUGAUUUUUUUUCUAUUCUUUCUUCCCUCCUUUCCCAUUGAGAUGAAUGGACAUUUGAUAUUACCAAGAAUAUGCAUAAUGACUUGGAAGUUACCAUUUGAACAAUUGACAUUCUUGAGCAUCUUAGGUUGGAUUUCCUAGGAACAGAACCUGUGACAGGAAUUCAGGUGGAGCUGUUUUAGGCUGGGUGCUGUGGCCCAGGCCUGGAAUCCCAGCACUUCAGAAGGCCAAGGCAGGAGAAUCGCUUGAGCCCAGGAGUUCAAGAGCAGCCUGGGCAACAUGUUGAAACAUCAUCUCUAUACAAAUAUACGCACAAAAAUUAGCUGGACAUGGUGGUGUGCACCUGUAGUCCUAACUACUCAGGAAGCUGUGGUGGAAGAAUCACUUGAGCCCAGGAGGUCGAGCCUGCAAUAAGCUGUGAUUGCACCACUGCACUCCAGCGUGGAUGACAGAGCAAGACACCCUGUCUCAAAAAAAAGACUAUACAACAGAGCUCUGAAAAAGAUCACACUUUCAGGCUCAAGGAGCUCUCUUGUUCCUUCCACCAUCUGAGAACACAGUGAGAAGUCCCCAGGCUUCAACCUGAAAAAGGGCCCUCAUCAGAACCUGAUCAUCAGAACUUGGCACCCCAAUCUUUGUCUUCUGAUCUACAUUGUGACCUAAGUCAGUUAUACUCUCUUCUGCUGCCAUGUGAGAAGGCCCAGGCUUGCUUCCCCUUCACCUUCCGCCAUGACUAACUUUCACAUGACGUGAAACUUAACUUCAUUCAGCACUGUACUCCCAUAGCACCUCACUGGAAAGGCAUUCCCUGGCAACCUUCUUUAUAAUGAAGGUAACUUAUCAAGAUGGAUAUCAGGUGCCAGAAGAUGUGAAUAUGAUUUUUAUCUGUUUUGAGUUAUUAAUAAAGAGGUUUAAGACUUUGCUUAGAGAAUUACUGUUUCUUUUCAAAUUAUUGAUCAUUCCAACUCAUUUUGAUGCUGGAAUAUUCACAGUGUAUUUCUAAUGCAACAUUAAAGAGUUAAUCCUGAUAAUGAAAAUAGGGUUGAAUAAGUAUUUUGUUCUGUCCUUUCCACUUGUGUUCUUUUGCAGUCAGGAAUUUCAGUUCCUUAUUCUGAGUUUAUUACGAAGGAUAUUUUCUAGCUUAAAAAAGGUAAAGAAUUGAUUACUUCCUAAUCACAAGUAGACAAGUUGUUACUUCACUGUUACUCCAUUAACACUAGCUAUGACUUUUCUUACCUCUGAACUGGAUUUUAUAGCAACAUCCUAGCUGUCUGCUGGCCUUCUUCCCAAAGUUCACUCAAGACACAACAGCUGAACUGAUCAAUACUGUUACAGCUCACAGUCUGCCUCUACCCACAGCUGACACAUUAGACAAACUGAAUCACUUGACACACCUGCAGGAAAGCCCAUGUUCAUUAGGCAUGGGAAGCCCUUCUUAACUUUACUCUUUGGAAAUGUUUUCCCUCCUUCCAGGUAUUGCUCCAAAAAAGCAUAUAGUAAGAAAAGGAAACCUCAACUGCAACCAAGGGACUUGGAUCUUAAUUCCAGUUCCACUAUAACAAGCUAUGCACAUUUGGGCAGGUUUUCACUCUCUCUCACUCAAUUUUCUCAUCUGUAUAAUGAGAAGGCAUAAACCAGAUCAGAGGUUUUCAUAAUGUGGUCCUUCAGCUAGCAGCAUCAGCAUCACUUGGGUACUUGUUAGAAACGCAAAUUCUCAAGGUUUAUCCCACCUUUACUAAAUCAGAAAUUCUGGAGAUGGGACAAAGAAAUCUGUGUUUGAACAAGCCCUCUCUACGAUGUCUUUUUUCUUAGUUGCUUACAUGGAAUUUCAUACUUUUACUACAUACAUCACCUAUUUCAUGUUAGAAUUAUUUUUGACAUGUCCUCUCCAAUUUGUACUAGAUAUUCCCUUGAAGAUUAGAAUUCCAUCUUGAUUAUCUUUAUAUCCUGGACAGUGUGUAAACCCAGAUCCUACACAUAUUAGAUGGUUACAAAAUCUUUGGCAAAUUAGAUUCUUCAUUAAUGUUAAUGUUCAUUUAAUCCCCAAAAUAUUAGAAAAAAAUCAUUAAAAUUAACUUAAGUAAUCACAGCAUAUAAGUGAGAAAAUAUGGAGAAGAUACAGACUCAAACCUUGGGUAGGGAGUAGAAAAACAUAACCACUGGGUUGAGCUUAUGUUCACAUAGCAGGCUAACCCACGGAGGAAAGAGUGCUUCAAAAUUGGUUAAUUGCAAAUGAUUGUUAUCCUUGCAG
rnacentral:lncRNA from 1 species